rnacentral:rRNA from 1 species
AUACGUAGGUGACAAGCGUUAUCCGGAUUUACUGGGCGUAAAGGGCGUGUAGGCGGUCUUGCAAGUCAGAAGUGAAAUUCCUGAGCUCAACUCGGGCGCUGCUUCUGAAACUGCAGGACUUGAGUGCUGGAGGGGAUAGCGGAAUUCCUAGUGGAGCGGUAAAAUGCGCAGAUCUUAGGAAGAACACCGGUGGCGAAGGCGGCUAUCUGGACAGUAACUGACGCUGAGGCGCGAAAGCGUGGGGAGCAAACAGGAUUAGAUGCCCUGGUAGUCCACGCCGUAAACGAUGAAUACUAGGUGUAGGGGGUAUCGACUCCCUCUGUGCCGCAGUUAACACAAUAAGGAUUCCGCCUGGGGAGUACGGCCGCAAGGUUGAAACUCAAAUGAAUUGACGGGG